AUUGAACGCUGGCGGCAGGCUUAACACAUGCAAGUCGAGCGAGCGGCGGACGGGUGAGUCAUGUCUGGGAACCUGCUUGAUGGCGGGGGAUAACUCCUGAAAACGGUAGCUAAUACCGCAUACCUUCACAUUUUCCCAGAGUGGAUUAGCUAGUAGGUGGGUUAAUGGCUCACCUAGGCGACGAUCCCUAGCUGGUCUGAGAGGUUGACCCGCCACACUGGAACUGAGACACGGUCCAGACUCCUACGGGAGGCAGCAGUGGGGAAUAUUGCACAAUGGGCGCAAGCCUGAUGCAGCCAUGCCGCGUGAGUGAAGAAGGCCUGCGGGUUGUAAAACACUGUCAGCGGGGAAGCGUUACUCACAGAAAAAGCAACGGCUAACUCCGUGCCAGCAGCCGCGGUAAUAC
rnacentral:rRNA from 1 species